GGAAGAUUAACCCUGAGCUAACAUCUGCCACCAAUCCUCCUCUUUUUGCUGAGGAAGAUUGGCCAUGUGCUAACAUCUGUACCCAUCCUCCUCUACUUUAUAUGUGGGACACCUGCCACAGCAUGGCUUGGUAAUCGGUGUGUAGGUCCACACCUGGGAUCCGAACCAACAAACCCAAGGUCACUGAAGCAGAGCGUGCGAAUUUAACUGCUACUCCACCAGACUGGCCCCCCAAAAUAUAUUUUUUUUAGACUUUAGGAAAUCUAUUUCUGUAAUUGAUAAGAAAAACAGUGAAACCUUUAAAGCCCUCAAAGGUCAUGUAGAUGCAGUUACUUUUGUAAGCAUCCUUUGUUGAAAGAGGCCCAGAAGAAGUUGAGAAGAUGGAGAGAUGCAGCAAGGUGGGAGUGCAGAGAGUGUGGAGAAGGUGAAUUAAGCAGGGAUGAUAAAAACCAAAUAACUACAAAAGCCUUCUGUAAGAGAGGCAUCCGAAUUGACAGGUGCCAUUACCAUAAGCAUUAAAAUUUUGGAAUGAAGCAAAGAAAAACGGGAAGAUGGGUUUGACAAAGUGAGAAAGGAUAUCUCACGGUGAAUGUCACUCAUCUGACCUUGGCUUAGCUUCUUUUUUUUUUAUUGCAGUAACAUUGGAUUAUAACAUUACAUAACUUUCAGGUGUACAUCGUAAUAUAUUUCAAAUUCUGUGUAGAUUACAUCAUGUUCACCACCCAAAGACUAAUUACAAUCCAUCACCACACACAUGCCUAGUCAUGCCUUUUGCCCUUUCCUUUCCUCCCUUCCCCUAUAGUAAACACCAAUCCAAUCUGUUGCUAUGUGUUUGUUUGUCGUUGUUUUUAAUCUUCUACUUAUGAGUGAGAUCAUAUGGUUUUUUACUUUCUCCCUCUGACUUAGUUCACUUAGCAUAACACCCUCAAGGUCCAUCCAUGUUGUCACAAAUGGCUGGAUUUCAUCACUUCUUAUGGCUGAGUAGUAAUCCUUUAUGUAUAUAUACCUCAUCUUCUCUAUCCAUUCGUCCCUUGAUGGGCACCUAGGUUGCUUCCAAGUUUGACUAUUGUGAAUAAUGCUACAGUAAACAUAGAAGUGCGUGUAUCUUUAUGCCUUUAUGUUUUCAAGUUCUUUGGAUAAAUACCCAGCAGUGGAAUAGCUGGAUCAUAUGGUAGAUCUAUUCUUAAUUUUCUGAGGAUACUCCGUACUGCUUUCCAUAGUGAUUGCAGCAGUUUGCACUCCCACCAGCAGUGUACCAGGGUUCCCUUCUGUCCACAUCCUCUUCAACACUUGUUUCCCGUCUUGUUAAUCAUAGCCAUUCUAACUGGAGUGAGGUGAUAUCUCAUUGUAGUUUUGAUUUGCAUUCCCCUGAUAGCUAAUGAAGUUGAACAUCUUUUCAUGUGCCCUUUGGCCAUCCGUAUAUCUUCUUUGGAGAAAUCUCUGUUCAGAUCUUUUGCUCAUUUUUAAUUGGGUUGUUGGUUUUUUGUUGUUGAGACAUAUGAGUUCUUUGUAUAUUUUCGAUAUUAACCCCUUAUCUGAUGUAUGGUUUGCAAAUGUCUUCUUCCAAGUGUUAGGUUGUCUUUUUGUUUUGUUGAUGGUUUCUUGGCUUAGCUUCUUAAUGUAUUUAUUAUUGCUGAUGCCUCUACUUGGGUAGGAGAACUUGGUUGAAAGGACAGCUGUGUUGAAAGGACAGAUCCGUUACUCAGGAGAGAAAACUGCUUACAUAGCCACCUCAGUGCAUCCUUCGUGAUCCAUCAUUCUUCAGCAAACCAAGGUCAAUUAAUAAAUGGUUCAUCCAGGCUAAUUGUGCAAUGAGUGAACCAGACAAGGAUGUGAUGGUUAUUUCCCUGCCCCACCCCUCCAGGGGGCUGCCCCUGACUUAGCCAGAUGCUCACUCAGAACUUUUGGCUGUUCAUAAUGAGACUCCAAGAAUUUGGAAUGGUUCCAGAUGGGUCACAGGUGUCUGCAGAAGGUUGACUACACUGAAGGGGAUAUCAAGCCUCCGACUGGCCAUCAGUUUUCUGCUGGAUGCUCAUCCUUGUUACCUACCAGUCUCUCAUGAGCUUAUCUGUGUGAGUUCAUACCAGGGAGAUGGAGUCGUAUGGUGGACGGACUGAAGGAGGCCCCAAGCCUGCAAGAGUAGAGUCACCGAGUUCUCCCAGCCACCAGCCUGGGUUUCUGGAAACUUUCACGGGCAUGUUGAAGAUGAUCAUGUUGUCCACAAAUUGCCCUUCAUUAAAAAAGCCUUUAAGAUGAGGACCGUAUUUGUUCCCAUGGAGAUACAGCAGCCAGAAUUAGUUUGGCACAGAGACGCCCUUGAGUGCAUGUCUGAGAAGGUUGCUCCAGAUGCUGUGUUCUACCUCCUCACAGAGGCAGAUGCGACCUAGAACAUCUUGCUGUAGUUUUCUACAUAAAAUGAGUGCAGUCACUUGCUUUUCCUCCCUUCCUUUCCCUUGCCCUCUGCAUAGUUGCGGCUCAUCUCAACUGCCCUCCCCCAUUGCCUGCAUCUUCCCUGGAAGUGGAGGAUGUUGGCAGAGUUAGGGCUGUGGGAACAGGUACCAGUCAGAAAGGAGGAGGGGCCUGAUGGGGUGAGCUGAGUAAGGACCCCAUGGUGAGGCUUUGGGAGCCUGGGGAGCAGCUCAGGGCACGGGUGAACCUGAGGUGAUGGCCUUGAGCGUGUGGGCCACUGGAGAGUGACUCACUAUCUGGGUUAUGUUUGACUUAUUUUUCUUAAUUUUUAAAACUUUUAGUUAAAAUAAUAAUAUGUUGGGAAAUACAGAGAGGAACAAAGAAAAAUAAAAAAUCAUCCAGCUCCAGAGAUAAACACGGCUAAUUUUUUUUCCAGGUGCAUGCUCGCUCUCUAAACAAGCAG
ensembl:lncRNA